GAUGAACGCUGGCGGCGUGCCUAAUACAUGCAAGUCGAGCGAACGGACGAGAAGCUUGCUUCUCUGAUGUUAGCGGCGGACGGGUGAGUAACACGUGGAUAACCUACCUAUAAGACUGGGAUAACUUCGGGAAACCGGAGCUAAUACCGGAUAAUAUUUUGAACCGCAGGGUUCAAAAGUGAAAGACGGUGUUGCGGUCACUUAUAGAGGGAUACGCGCUUGAUUAGCCAGUUGGUAAGGUAACAGCCUACCAAGGCAAGGAUGCAUGGCCGACCUGAGAGGGUGAUCGCCCACACUGGAACUGAAACACGCACCCGAGUCCUGCGGGAGGCACCAGUAGGGAAUCUUACGCAGAGGGCGAAAGCCUUACGGAGCAACCCCGCGUGAGAGAUGACGGUCUUCGGAGCGUAAAACUCUGUUAUGGGUGGAGAACAUCUGUGUAAGGAACUGUGCACAUCUUGACGGUACCUAAUCAGAAAGCCACGGCUAACUACGUG
rnacentral:rRNA from 1 species